rnacentral:misc_RNA from 1 species
GGCUUAGUUGAGUUGAGUUUAUGUAAUAAAUUGGGUUAAUUUCAUUAAAGGACAUUUUUGUCUCUCAAUUUCAAUUUGUAUAAGUAAAAAAGCUCAAAGUUUGAUUUUGAUUCAAGAAGAUUGCUUCUAAAUUUUUGCAGACAUUUAGCCAAAUUCUUUAUGUGACGAUAAAAUAUAAUAGCUCCAAGCCUACAAAAAUGUAUUUUGAAAAAUUUUACUUGGUUAUCAUGU